CAUCGACUCUGACCACUAUUUGCACGCUAACUUGAAAGUACCCAUUAAAUGAGUACCAUGUACUCUUUUUUAUUGCCAAUACGAAGCUGUCAAAAAAAGGGUACAUUUCCCAAAACAAUAAAUGGGUAUUUUGUACUCUUAAUGAACAUCGCUUAGCGCAAAUAAAGAUGGGUAAUAUCAGCGACCAUUUUUUAUUUGUCAAGUGCUUUGAAUUGAAGAAGUUUAUCAAACUUUACGUUUUAAAAGGUGUUCUACAACAGUGAAACAUUGAACAAAUCAUGGAGAUGCAGCAAAAACCGGAGUCUGGAACAAGCGCACUGUUCGCAGGAGGAGGACACAAAAUUUCUCAACUAUUUCCAGACGCCAUGGUAGUUUGUUUAUUAAUUGAAAUAUACUAGUUGAAGUCUUCA